AUACGUAGGGGGCUAGCGUUAUCCGGAAUUACUGGGCGUAAAGGGUGCGUAGGCGGUCUUGCAAGUCAGAGGUGAAAGGCUACGGCUCAACCGUAGUAAGCCUUUGAAACUGUAGGACUUGAGUGCAGGAGAGGAAAGUGGAAUUCCCAGUGUAGCGGUGAAAUGCGUAGAUAUUGGGAGGAACACCAGUUGCGAAGGCGGCUUUCUGGACUGUAACUGACGCUGAGGCACGAAAGCGUGGGGAGCGAACAGGAUUAGAUACCCUGGUAGUCCACGCCGUAAACGAUGAGUACUAGGUGGCGGAGGUUACCCCCCUCGGUGCCGCAGCUAACGCAUUAAGUACUCCGCCUGGGAAGUACGCUCGCAAGAGUGAA
rnacentral:rRNA from 1 species